UGGGGAAUAUUGCGCAAUGGGCGAAAGUCUGACGCAGCAACGCCGCGUGAGUGAUGAAGGCCUUCGGGUCGUAAAGCUCUGUCGGAGGGAACGAAUGCUCCUGAAGUUAACAGCCUCAGGAGGUGACGGUACCCUCAAAGGAAGCACCGGCUAACUCUGUGCCAGCAGCCGCGGUAAUACAGAGGGUGCAAGCGUUGUUCGGAAUCAUUGGGCGUAAAGGGCGUGUAGGCGGUAUGUUAAGUCAUGUGUGAAAUCCCUCGGCUCAACCGGGGAACGACGCAUGAAACUAUGCGGCUAGAGUGUGGCAGAGGGGGGUGGAAUUCCACGUGUAGCAGUGAAAUGCGUAGAGAUGUGGAGGAACACCGAUGGCGAAGGCAGCCCCCUGGGCCAACACUGACGCUCAGGCACGAAAGCGUGGGGAGCAAACAGGAUUAGAUACCCGUGUAGUCCCUGAGCGGGCUGGCAAGGCGCAU
rnacentral:rRNA from 1 species